rnacentral:snRNA from 1 species
AUAUCUUCUCACCCAAGUGGCUAAGAUCAUCUGAAGUAUGUGUUCUUAUCAGCUUAAUCUCUGAUAGUGAGGCCUCCCAUGUGCCUCACAACUCAAGAUUAGACUUAUUUCUUGUGGGCGCCCUGGCACCAAGUUCCCCUGCAGCUGGCUGUGGGGUGGUCCAGGGAGCAGUGAUCAGCUUCUCAUUGCACAUCUGGAGAAGUUCUUCAAGUGGUCCUCCCUUC